GCAAACUUGGUCAUUUAGAGGAAGUAAAAGUCGUAACAAGGUUUCCGUAGGUGAACCUGCGGAAGGAUCAUUAUUGAAUUUUAAAUCCAGCUUUGCUUGUGCUGUGCAUUCUCUUUGCACGCUCGAGUGAGUUGGCUCUUUAAAAAUACACCCCUGUGCACCUUCGGGCUGUCACUGAGUGCUUUUUGCACUUGCGGUGGCAUGUCUGUUUUUUUACACCUUUUUGUAUGUUUCUGAAUGUCAUUUUCCGAUGUCCUGUGAUGGGAUAAUUGGUUUAAUAAAAAUACAACUUUCAGCAACGGAUCUCUUGGCUCUCCCAUCGAUGAAGAACGCAGC
rnacentral:misc_RNA from 1 species